GAGGGUGUAGCUCAGCGGUAGAGUGCUUGCUUAGCAUGCACAAGGUCCUGGGUUCAAUUCCCAGUACCUCCC
rnacentral:tRNA from 1 species